GACAGAGACUACAAAAGAAGAAAAUUACCGACCAACAUCCCUUCUGAGCAUAGAGGCAGAAAUCCUCAGUAAAAGUAUAGCAAACCUAAUCCAACAGAUUAGACACAUGACCAAGUGGGAUUUAUUCAAGGGAGGCAAGUCAGUUGUAUCUCAAUAAAGGUGGGGGAAAAAAACUCAGAAAAAAACAAGGAAUGCAAAGGUGGUUCAACAUAAGAGUAAUCGAUUAAUACCACAUUAAAAGAAGGAAAGAAAACAUCUCAAUUGAUACAGAAAAGGCAUUUUCAAAACCUUACAAUUGUUCAUGGUU